GUGGAUGUAGCUCAGUUGGUUAGAGCUCAUGAUUGUGGUUCAUGAGGCCGGGGGUUCGAGUCCCCUCAUCCACCCCA
rnacentral:tRNA from 1 species